rnacentral:rRNA from 1 species
CCUACGGGUGGCUGCAGUGAGGAAUAUUGCGCAAUGGGCGAAAGCCUGAUGCAGCGACGCCGCGUGAGGGAUGAAGGUCUUCGGAUCGUAAACCUCUGUCAGCAGGGAAGAACGGUCUAUGUGUUAAUCAGCAGUGAAUUGACGGUACCUGCAAAGGAAGCACCGGCUAACUCCGUGCCAGCAGCCGCGGUAAUACGGAGGGUGCGAGCGUUAAUCGGAAUUACUGGGCGUAAAGCGCUCGUAGGCGGUAUGUCAAGUCAAGGGUGAAAUCCCCGGGCUCAACGUGGGAACUGCCUUUGAAACUGGAAGGCUGGAGUGUGGGAGAGGGGAGUGGAAUUCCAGGUGGAGUGGUGAAAUGCGUAGAUAUCUGGAGGAACAUCAGUGGCGAAGGCGGCUACCUGGAACAUAACUGACGCUGAGGGGCGAAAGCGUGGGGAGCAAACAGGAUUAGAUACCCGAGUAGUC